rnacentral:rRNA from 1 species
UACGUAGGAUGCAAGCGUUGUUCGGAAUUACUGGGCGUAAAGAGUACGUAGGCGGUUUGGUAAGUCUGAUAUUAAAGACCGGAGCUCAACUUCGGGACUGUAUCGGAAACUGUCAGACUAGAGGACAAUAGAGGAAGUCGGAAUUCUCAGUGUAGCGGUGAAAUGCGUAGAUAUUGGGAAGAACACCAGUGGCGAAGGCGAUCACCUGGGGUUGUUCUGACGCUGAGGAGCGAAAGCUAGGGGAGCAAACAGG